rnacentral:lncRNA from 1 species
AGCAGGUCACGCAUGCUGCCGGGCACAGGUUGGACUUCAUGAUGUCCUCGAGCAGUGCAAGAACCUCAAGGCUCAGCUCGUCUGACGGAAGGAUAUCCUCGGCAGCCUCGGCUACCAUCACCAGGUGGCUGCUCCACAGGAGAGCAAGAAAGAGCAGCACCCCCAUCACCUUACGUGCAGGCAUCUUGCUGCGAGUCAUUGUGUGUUGAGUGUGAGAGAGUUGUAUGCUAGCUGUGUGUUUGGGAGUGGUACUGUGUGGGCGUGCUCUUUAUAGAAUAUGAGGAGUGAAUGAUUGUGACAAAGAAACUUACUUUCUGAUUGUGUCCUCCACGAUGCACAUGUGCUCUUCUUCUUCAUAUAUACUUACUAUCUUCUUUGACUGUGUCCGUGUGGUAAUUAACCUUGUAUGAAUUUUAGUUACUAUUGGCCACCAUUUAAAAAUCCCAGUUCCCAAACAGCCCAGCCCAACCCAGCCAGUGGAAACAUACAUACAUACAUAUUUUCAUUAAUCAAACAAACAAAUCUCUAAAUUGAUCAAAGGUAAUUCAGUGCAUUGCAUGAAAUCAAAGGUAACUCAUUUAUAGCGUAUGUGGUUUCGGCAUCGGCGUGAUUACAAGAACAUUAAGAUGAAGAAGAAGUGGGAGUGGGACUCAAAACCCUCCUUCGAUCGACCCAUCCGAUAGAAGCAUGCAUGGCAGAAGCGACUAGCUAGUUGUAGCAAAUUAGAAUCGACAAAAAAAAAAUUGCAUCAAGUUGGGCAACAUCAAAAGCUUAAUCUAAAAAUCAUGAGGUUGGUUUGUACGGGUCAUCUCGAUCUAAUCUAAACAAAACAAACAAACAAAAAACCAUGGCCAAAGUCUAAAAGGAACGGUCUCGCGAACAAACCGAGUUAUCAAGUUGGCACGAUCGAACCACGACGCCAUGAACAAACCUUACCUGGUCUAAAGAGCUAGCUCCUUUAACUUGGAAGGCCAAGCACAUGGCAUGCCCUCCCUCCCUCCCUGAUCACUAUCUUACUUACUUGGGAAGAAGAGCUUUGCUCUCCUCCGUCUUGUUAUUGCGAGAGGAGAGGAGGGAGCGUCUUAGCUAGGUUUCCCUAGAGAUAUAGUAUAAGUGAGCGAGGGCCAAGAGAGAGAGAGAGCGGAGGCUCGGUGGUCACGGCUCCUACUGGAUGCAGUUAGCUUUGGCUC